rnacentral:rRNA from 1 species
UGGUGUUGCCACACCACCCUGAGAAUGCCUAAUAUUGUCUGAUCUCAGAAGCUAAGCACAGUCGGGCCUGAUUAGUACUUGGAUGGGAGACAGCUUGGGAAUCCUGGGUGCUGCAGUCU